AUCCAGCUAACGAGUCAAAAAUAGGACGAAAUGCUCAUCCUGGAU
rfam:Schistosoma mansoni strain Puerto Rico chromosome 1, complete genome